rnacentral:rRNA from 1 species
AUGGUGCUCCUCCGCUAUGGUGUCUCCUUCCUCAUCGAGCAGCCCCUCCCUCCCAAUGCUAAUGCUCAACUGCUUGAACUCGAUGCCCAUGUCACCCUCUGGAUCUAUGCCACCCUGGCUGAUCCCCUCGUCGACCACGUCGUCGGCGCCACCACGAUCUUCACCCUCUGGAAAAAGAUCCAUGACUUCUUCCUCGCAAAUCGGGCGGCUCGUUUCAUGAUCCUCAACCGCCAAUACCGCAAUCUCAAACAGGGUGAUUUCUCUAUCACCGAAUAUGCCCGUCGCAUGAAGCUCCUCACUGAUGGCCUUGCCGAUAUCGAUCAUGCGGUCACUGAGGUGGAUCUCACCACCCAGUUUCUUCACGGCCUCGACAAACGCCUGGACACGAUCCGGGUAGUUCUGGGUGAUCAGGCCUCCUCCAUGCCGUUCGACACCGUCCUCUCUCGCGUCGCCUUGGCCGAGGAGUCCAUGGAACAACGGGCGGCCAAAGAGAGCGCAUCGGCGUUCGCCUUCUCCGGC